rnacentral:rRNA from 1 species
AUUGAACGCUGGCGGCAGGCCUAACACAUGCAAGUCGAACGAGUGGCGGACGGGUGAGUAAUGUCUGGGAAACUGCCUGAUGGAGGGGGAUAAAUACUGGAAACGGUAGCUAAUACCGCAUACCAUCAGAUGUGCCCAGAUGGGAUUAGCUAGUUGGUGGGGUAACGGCUCACCAAGGCGACGAGCCCUAGCUGGUCUGAGAGGAUGACCAGCCACCCUGGACCUUAGACACGGUCCAGACUCCUACGCGAGGCAGCAGUGGGGAAUAUUGCACCAUGUGCGCAAGCCUGAUGCAGCCAUGCCGCGUGUAUGAAGAAGGCCUUCGGGUUGUAAAGUACUUUCAGCGGGGAGGCGUUACCCGCAGAAGAAGCACCGGCUAACUCCGUGCCAGCCGCCGCGGUAAUUC